rnacentral:rRNA from 1 species
UACGUAGGGGGCAAGCGUUGUCCGGAUUUAUCGGGCGUAAAGAGCGUGUAGGCGGCCACACAGGUCUGCUGUGAAAACUCGAGGCUCAACCUCGAGCUGUCGGUGGAAACCGUGUGGCUAGAGUCCGGAAGAGGAGAGUGGAAUUCCCGGUGUAGCGGUGAAAUGCGCAGAUAUCGGGAAGAACACCCGUGGCGAAGGCGGCUCUCUGGGACGGUACUGACGCUGAGACGCGAAAGCGUGGGGAGCGAACAGG